rnacentral:rRNA from 1 species
AUCUUCUUUGAGGUAUGCUUAAGGAGGGGCUUGCGACACAUUAGUUAGUUGGCAGGGUAAAGGCCUACCAAGACUAUGAUGUGUAGCUGGACUGAGAGGUUGAACAGCCACAUUGGGACUGAGACACGGCCCAAACUCCUACGGGAGGCAGCAGUAGGGAAUUUUCGGCAAUGGAGGAAACUCUGACCGAGCAACGCCGCGUGAACGAUGAAGUACCUCGGUAUGUAAAGUUCUUUUAUUAAGGAAGAAAAAAGAGUGGAAAAACUCCCUUGACGGUACUUAAUGAAUAAGCCCCGGCUAAUUAUGUGCCAGCAGCCGCGGUAAUACAUAAGGGGCGAGCGUUAUCCGGAAUUAUUGGGCGUAAAGGGUGCGUAGGCGGUUUAAUAAGUCUAUAGUUUAAUUUCAGUGCUUAACGCUGUUGUGCUAUAGAAACUGUUUUACUAGAGUGAGAUAGAGGCAAGCGGAAUUCCAUGUGUAGCGGUAAAAUGCGUAAAUAUAUGGAGGAACACCAGAGGCGUAGGCGGCUUGCUGGGUCUUUACUGACGCUGAGGCACGAAAGCGUGGGGAGCAAACAGGAUUAGAUACCCUGGUAGUCCACGCCGUAAACGAUGAGUACUAAGUGUCGGGUAAAACUGGUACUGAAGUUAACACAUUAAGUACUCCGCCUGAGUAGUACGUACGCAAGUAUGAAACUUAAAGGAAUUGACGGGACUCCGCACAAGCGGUGGAUCAUGUUGUUUAAUUCGAAGAUACACGAAAAACCUUACCAGGUCUUGACAUUUUCUUGCGAAGUUAUAGAAAUAUAAUGGAGGUUAUC